rnacentral:rRNA from 1 species
AGAGUUUGAUCCUGGCUCAGGACGAACGCUGACGGUGUGCUUUAGGCAUGCAAGUCGAACGAGAAAACCCUUCGGGGUGAGUAAAGUGGCGAACGGGUGAGUAACACGUGGGCAGCCUGCCCCUCGCAGGGGGACAACCGGAGGAAACUCCGGCUAAUACCCCGUAAGCUCUACACGCCGCAUGGCGAGUAGAGGAAAGGUAGCUUCGGCCAUCCGGCGAGGGAUGGGCCCGCGGUGCAUUAGCUAGUUGGUGGGGUAACGGCCCACCAAGGCGACGAUGCGUAGCUGGUCUGAGAGGAUGAUCAGCCACACUGGGACUGAGACACGGCCCAGACUCCUACGGGAGGCAGCAGCCAGGAAUCUUGGGCAAUGGGCGAAAGCCUGACCCAGCAACACCGUGUGGGUGAUGAAGGCCUUCGGGUCGUAAAGCCCUGUUGAUAGGGACGAAGGGCGAAGGGUUAAUAGCCUGGAGCUUGACGGUACCUUUCGAGGAAGCCCCGGCUAACUACGUGCCAGCAGCCGCGGUAAUACGUAGGGGGCGAGCGUUGUCCGGAAUUAUUGGGCGUAAAGAGCGUGUAGGCGGUUCGGUAAGUCUGUCGUGAAAUCCUGGGGCUCAACUCUGGGCGUGCGAUGGAUACUGCCGGGCUAGAGGGUGGUAGAGGCGAGUGGAAUUCCCGGUGUAGCGGUGAAAUGCGCAGAUAUCGGGAGGAACACCAGUAGCGAAGCGGCUCGCUGGGCCACACCUGACGCUGAGACGCGAAAGCUAGGGGAGCGAACAGGAUUAGAUACCCUAGUAGUCC